UAUUUCUACUACUAUUACUACUUCUACUACAAGAGACAGAGCAAAAAAAGAAAAGAAAGGAAGGGAUAUGUCGCUCUUUCUUCCGCUUUCUCUCUCUUCUCUCUCCUUCCCUGUUAGUGUGUGCGUGCGUGCGUGCGUGCGUGCCAGACACCUUAUGUAAAUGGUGGGUGGCCUGUUUGUUCGUUUGUUUGUUUGUUCCGCUGAGAGGCCCAUCGCGCUUGACUGUUAGCUAGGUGGUUAUCAAAGGAAAGAAAAAAAAAAAAGAAAAAAUCGGAGGAGAAAUUUUGCGGCCGAAAUCACUUGUUAAUGUUUUCUCACUAACCACCACCACCACCACCACCACCACUACCACUAUCCCUACUGCUACUACUACUAUUACUACUACUGGAUAUGAUGUUGUAGGUUUAUAUCAAAAUUAGACUCACUGUUUUUGUGUCUAUCUACAUACGAUGAGCUCGGAAAUCCAUGACUCUCGACCUGUGAAGUGCUUGUGUGUGUGUGGAGAUAGUUUGUGUCUGUGCCGGAAAGCAGAUGGACGGAUGCUCGGAUGAACCUCAGAGUGACGAAGAAAGGAAAGGAACGGAAAGGGAGUGGACGGAAGGAAAGGAAAGGAAAGGAAAUGAUGGAAAGACUAGGAAAGGGAGUGGACAGAAGAAAAGAAAGGAAGGAAAGGAAAGGAAAGGGAGUGUUUGAAGGACUAGGAAAAGGGAAUGGACAGAAGAAAAGAAAGGAAAGGAAAGGAAGUGUUUGAAGGACUAGAAAAUAGAGUGAACAAAAGGAAGGAAAGGAAAGGAAAUAAACAAAACAAAACAAAAGAAGGAAAGGAAAGGGAGUGAUUGAUGGACCAGGAAAGGGAACGAACAGAAUAAAGGAACACGUCGGAGCGGAAACGGAAACAUAGAUAGUCGGAACGGAAGGGAGAGAAAGGAAAAACUAGCAAGAAAUGAAACUACAGAGACAGAGAGAAGGAAAAAACAGGACAUGAAACAAACGAAAACUAGCAAAAGAACGGAGAAGGGAAAAACGGAUCAAGAGGAAAACGGAGAGAAACGGAGAUUAAGGAAAUGAAAACAAGGAAAAAAAACAAUAAACAGGAAAACACUAGUUCGUCACCCAAUACAUGACAAUCAAAGAAAACGGACAACGGAGGAGGAGGAGGAGGAGGCGAAAGAAGCGUAAACAUUGAAAACAAAGACCGACACCACAAGAAGAAGAAGAAGAAGCACACACACACAUACACACACACACACACACACACACACGAGCGAUUACGAUGUUUUUGUACACGGCUGUAACACACACACACACAUAUGACCUUAGGGGGCCAAAUUUAAUAGCAGGUGAUAAUUAUAUUGUAACUAACCCUUUCUAUCAUUAUAUAUUGCUAGUCAUCGCCACCGUGUCCCCUAUACGAUGCUUACCGGGGUAGGGGUCGGGGGUCAGCCUGGCGGUCACCCAUCUCGUCUGCUCGCUCGCUCUCUCUUCGGUGAAUCGCGGAACUUGCCGUCAAAUUUCACUUUAUUUUAUUUGAUUUUCGAUUUUUUGGUUUGUUUCACGAGUUUAUUGUUUUUUUUUUGCGAGGGUUUCGUUUCUCUUAUUGGCAACUCAACCUCUUUUUUUUUAUUAAUUAACUUUGGGGUCGUUGUUGCUCCUCGUAAUUGCUAAUGUUAACGCUAACUUAACUUUGAUGUACAUUAGGCUAUUGUUUUUAUCCCUCAAGUUCCUUCUCUCAUUACAAACUCAACCUCUAUGUUAUUAUUUACGAGGUUGUUUCAUAAGGAUAUUGUAUUUCCUUCUCACGGAACGAAUUGCAAACUUAACUUCAUUUUACUUUAAUUUAUAGAAGGUUAUUAUAUCGCAGUUUAAAUAAUUCAUCUUUUUCUACAUAAUAACCAAUAGGAAGAGAAGGUGAGGUUCAGAGGAGCAGAGAUGGCAACUUAACCUCACUAUACACUAAUUUAUAAAAGGUUAUUAUAUCACAGUUUAAAUAAUUCUUCAUCUUUUUCUAUAUAAUAACCAAUUUGGAAGAGAAGGUUAGGUUCAGAGGAGCAGAGAUGGCUAACCUAACCUCACCUCACUUUACACUAUACAAGGUUCAUUUCCCAUGGUUAAAUUCUCUUUCAUAUCAUAUUAAGAAGAGAAGGUUAGGUUUAGGGGAAGAGAGAUACCAAACUGUUCACUUUACACUAAUUUAUACAAGGUUCAUUUGCCACAGUUAAACUCUCAUAUCAUAUUAAGAAAAGAAGGUUAGGUUUAGGGGAAGAGAGAUACCAAACUGUUCACUUUACACUAAUUUAUACAAGGUUCAUUUGCCACAGUUAAACUCUCAUAUCAUAUUAAGAAAAGAAGGUUAGGUUUAGGGGAAGAGAGAUACCAAACUGUUCACUUUUCACUAAUUUAUACAAGGUUCAUUUGCCACAGUUAAACUCUCAUAUCAUAUUAAGAAAAGAAGGUUAGGUUUAGGGGAAGAGAGAUACCAAACUGUUCACUUUACACUAAUUUAUACAAGGUUCAUUUGCCACAGUUAAACUCUCUCUCAUAUCAUAUUAAGAAGAGAAGGUUAGGUUUAGGGGAAGAGGAAUGACAAACCUCUCCUCUCAUUUUAAGUAAGAAGAGAGGGUGGGGUUCAGGGGACAAGAGAUGGCUGGCUGACCGACUGGCUGGCUUGCGACCCCUACACCACCAUGUCCUUUAACACUAUUACCACUACUGUCGCUACCACUGCAUUGAUGGUAGGGGGUUGUGCGUCACCGUUGGAAAAGGGGACAGCAUUGAUGAUGACGAUGAUGAUGUUUUUUACCGCCAGUUAUGACCAUUAUUAUUAUAUACGUGUGUAGUCCUGUGUGUCACUAUAACUCAGAAACACAUUAGUUGAACAAAAAUCAAAUUGUCCCUGUA